rnacentral:rRNA from 1 species
AUUGAACGCUGGCGGCAUGCUUUACACAUGCAAGUCGAACGGUAACAGGGUGCUUGCACCGCUGACGAGUGGCGAACGGGUGAGUAAUACAUCGGAAUGUACCCAGUAAUGGGGGAUAACGCUUCGAAAGGAGUGCUAAUACCGCAUACGCCCUGAGGGGGAAAGUGGGGGACCGCAAGGCCUCACGUUAUUGGAGCAGCCGAUGGCUGAUUAGCUAGUUGGUGAGGUAAAGGCUCACCAAGGCGACGAUCAGUAGCGGGUCUUAGAGGACGAGCCGCCACACUGGAACUGAGAAACGGUCCAGACUCCUACGGGAGGCAGCAGUGGGGAAUCUUGGACAAUGGGCGAAAGCCUGAUCCAGCAAUGCCGCGUGCGCGAAGAAGGCCUUCGGGUUGUAAAGCGCUUUUGUCUGGGAGCAAAUCCUGGCCUCUAAUACAGGUCGGGGAUGAGAGUACCAGAAGAAUAAGGACCGGCUAACUACGUGCCAGCCGCCGCCGUAAUAC